CAAGUACUCCCUCCGUUCGGAAUUACUUGUCUCGGAAAUGGAUGUAUUUAGAACUAAAAUAUAUCUAGAUACAUCCAUUUCUGCGACAAGUAAUCCCAAACGGAGGGAGUAUGUU
rfam:Triticum aestivum genome assembly, contig: Triticum_aestivum_CS42_TGACv1_scaffold_571840_7AS